GACGAACGCUGGCGGCGUGCCUAAUACAUGCAAGUAGAACGCUGAAGGAGGAGCUUGCUCUUCUGGAUGAGUUGCGAACGGGUGAGUAACGCGUAGGUAAUCUGCCUGGUAGCGGGGGAUAACUAUUGGAAACGAUAGCUAAUACCGCAUAACAGUAGAUGUUGCAUGACAUUUACUUAAAAGGUUCAAUUGCAUCACUACCAGAUGGGCCUGCGUUGUAUUAGCUAGUUGGUGGGGUAACGGCUCACCAAGGCGACGAUGCAUAGCCGACCUGAGAGGGGGGUCGGCCACACUGGGACUGAGACACGGCCCAGACUCCUACGGGAGGGAGCCGUAGGGAAUCUUCGGCAAUGGACGGAAGUCUGACCGAGCAACGCCGCGUGAGUGAAGAAGGUUUUCGGGUCGUAAAGCUCUGUUGUAAGGGAAGAACGAGUGUGAGAGUGGAAAGUUCACACUGUGACGGUAACUUACCAGAAAGGGACGGCUAACUACGUG
rnacentral:rRNA from 1 species